GGACGGCGGCAUGCUAAUACAUGCAAGUCGAGCGGACAGAAGGGAGCUUGCUCCCGGAUGUUAGCGGCCCCAUGGGUGAGUAACACGUGGGUAACCUGCCUGUAAGACUGGGAUAACUCCGGGAAACCGGAGCUAAUACCGGAUAGUUCCUUGAACCGCAUGGUUCAAGGAUGAAAGACGGUUUCGGCUGUCACUUACAGAUGGACCCGCGGCGCAUUAGCUAGUUGGUGAGGUAACGGCUCACCAAGGCGACGAUGCGUAGCCGACCUGAGAGGGUGAUCGGCCACACUGGGACUGAGACACGGCCCAGACUCCUACGGGAGGCAGCAGUAGGGAAUCUUCCGCAAUGGACGAAAGUCUGACGGAGCAACGCCGCGUGAGUGAUGAAGGUUUUCGGAUCGUAAAGCUCUGUUGUUAGGGAAGAACAAGUGCAAGAGUAACUGCUUGCACCUUGACGGUACCUAACCAGAAAGCCACGGCUAACUACGUGCCAGCAGCCGCGGUAAUACGUAGGUGGCAAGCGUUGUCCGGAAUUAUUGGGCGUAAAGGGCUCGCAGGCGGUUUCUUAAGUCUGAUGUGAAAGCCCCCGGCUCAACCGGGGAGGGUCAUUGGAAACUGGGAAACUUGAGUGCAGAAGAGGAGAGUGGAAUUCCACGUGUAGCGGUGAAAUGCGUAGAGAUGUGGAGGAACACCAGUGGCGAAGGCGACUCUCUGGUCUGUAACUGACGCUGAGGAGCGAAAGCGUGGGGAGCGAACAGGAUUAGAUACCCUGGGUAGUCC
rnacentral:rRNA from 1 species